AGCAGCCGCGGUAAUUCCAGCUCCAAUAGCGUAUAUUAAAGUUGUUGCAGUUAAAAAGCUCGUAGUUGAAUUUCGGGAUCAAAGGAUCGGUCAUGCCUUGGUAUGUACUGGUUUUAUUGGUUCUCACCUUCUAAAGAACCAUAAUGUCAUUCAUUUGAUGUUAUGGGGAAUUAGGACUGUUACCUUGAAAAAAUUAAAGUGUUUAAAGCAGGCUUACGCUUGAAUACAUUAGCAUGGAAUAAUGAAAUAGGACAUCAGAUUCUAUUUUGUUGGUUUCUAGGAUCGAUGUAAUGAUUAAUAGGGAUAGUUGGGGGCAUUAGUAUUCAAUUGUCAGAGGUGAAAUUCUUGGAUUUAUUGAAGACUAACUACUGCGAAAGCAUUUGCCAAGGAUGUUUUCAUUAAUCAAGAACGAAAGUUAGGGGAUCGAAGACGAUCAGAUACCGUCGUAGUCUUAACCAUAAACUAUGCCGACUAGGGAUCGGAUGAUGUUAAUUUUAUAAUGACUCA
rnacentral:misc_RNA from 1 species